ensembl:lncRNA
GUAAAUCGGUUAAUUUCCCUUUUUUACUGUGUUCAUUGUGAUGCACCAGUUACAACCUGGCAAAAGAAAAACUCACAAGUACUUGUGGUCUCUAAACUGUAAUAAAUUGGUAAAUAAAUUGGUAACUGCAAUAGGCUCAAAGUCCUCUGAGGGUGAGGCAGGGCCCAGUUCCAGCCUGCCGAUCUGGGGGCAGAAGCCGAGGGUCAUAAGCAAUCUGUUCUUUGGCCAACCUCUCCAGAGGGGCUCUGCACUGGUCUUGCCUUCACCCCCAGGCCAUUUCUCAUCCACUCCUCCGGCUCAGACGGCUUCAACAAUACAUGAACUGAGAACUUCCAGAUGUUCAAACUGGAUUUAGAAAAGGCAGAGGAACCACAGAUCAAAUUGUCAACAUCUGUUGGAUCAUAGAAAAAGCAAGAGAAUUCCAGGAAAACUUCUACUUCUGCUUCACUGACUAUGCUAAAGCCUUUGACUGUGUGGAUCACAACAAACUGUGGAAAAUUCUUCAAGAGAUGGAAAUACCAGACCACCUUACCUGCCUCCUGAGAAACCUGUAUACAGAUCAAGAAGCAACAGUUAGAACUGGACAUGGAACAACAGACUGGUUCCAAAGUGGGAAAGGAGUACAUCAAGGCUGUAUAUUGUCACCCUGCUUAUUUAACUUAUAUUCAGAGUACAUCAUGCGAAAUGCCGAGCUGGAUGAAGCACAAGCUGGGAUCAAGACUGUCGGGAGAAACAGUGACAGAUUUUAUUUUGGGGGGCUCUAAAAUCACUGCAGAUGGUGACUUCAGCCAUGAAAUUAAAGACAUUUGCUCCUUGGAAGAAAAGUUAUGCCAAACCUAGACAGCAUAUUAAAAAGCAGAGACAUUACUUUGCCAACAAAGGUCUGUCUAGUUAAAGCUAUGGUUUUUCCACUAGUCAUGUAUGGAUGGGAGAGUUGGAUCAUAAAGAAGGCUGAGCACCAAAGAAUUGAUGCUUUUGAACUGUGGUGUUGGAGAAGACUCUUGAGAGUCCCUUGGACUGCAAGGCGAUCAAACCAGUCAACACUAAAGAAAGUCAGUCCUGAAUAUUCACUGGAAGGACAGAUGCUGAAGCUGAAGCCUAAAUACUCUGGCCACCUGAUGAGAAGAGCUGACUCCUUAGAAAAGACCAAGAUGCUGAGAAAGACUGAAGGCAGGAGGAGAAGGGGAUGACAGAGGAUGAGAUGAUUGGAUGGCAUCACUGACUCAAUGGACAUAGGUUUGAGCAAGCUCCAGGAGAUGGUGAAGGACAGGGAAGCCUGGCGUGCUGCAGUUCGUGGGGUCGCAAAGAGUUGGACACGACUGAGCAACUGAACAACAACAUAUAUUUUAUGUAUAGUAGUAUAUAUCUGUUAAUCCUAUAC